UCGACCAGCGAGCGAGCAAUUCGACGGCUAGGAAAGCAACAAGCAAGCAAGGCUGCAACUGCAAGGCAGCAAGCCAGCAAACAACUGCGCCGCUGCGCGUCUGCGCAGACUGCACGCACCGACACACCGGAGGCAGCGACUGGAUUUGGAGGCUACCCAGCAGCGAUUGGAUUUGUCGAUUUGGAGCCGCGCCGCGCAGGAGGCCGGCCGGCCGGGCAAGGCAAGCAACACAGGUUUUUUAAGGCUGCAAGGCAAGCAAUGCAGUCAACAAACCGGGCAGCGACGCAGCGCAGGAAGUAGGCAAGCAGGAGCAGCAAGCAAGCAGCGCAGCAACCAGCAAGCACCAAGCAGGUUUGUUGACUAUUGUUGUUGUUUGACACCGAGAAAAACAUUUUGUGUUUUUGUCUAGAAAGUUUCAUAAUUCAUAGUGAUUUGUGUUACAAUUACACGGUACAAUAUGAAGAGAGUUCGAACAAUUGCAUCAUUUUAUCAAGUCGCGUCAAAUCAAGAAUCGAAUGAAAUCAUUCAAAACAUACAAAUUGGGACUAAUUUGGAUGAAAAUGAAAACAAUCAAGAAUCACUAGAUGUUGGGACUGCACAAAAUAAUACGGAAUCAAUAGAUAGUGAGAUUGUUGGUGAUCCUAGACUUCGAAAACCAAUUGAAAAGUUAGAUGUGAACAUUCGAGAUGUUGUUAGAAGAGAGUAUU
rnacentral:misc_RNA from 1 species